AGUGAACGCUGGCGGUAGGCCUAACACAUGCAAGUCGAACGGCAGCACAGUAAGAGCUUGCUCUUACGGGUGGCGAGUGGCGGACGGGUGAGGAAUACAUCGGAAUCUACUUUUUCGUGGGGGAUAACGUAGGGAAACUUACGCUAAUACCGCAUACGACCUACGGGUGAAAGCAGGGGAUCUUCGGACCUUGCGCGAUUGAAUGAGCCGAUGUCGGAUUAGCUAGUUGGCGGGGUAAAGGCCCACCAAGGCGACGAUCCGUAGCCGGUCUGAGAGGAUGAUCCGCCACACUGGAACUGAGACACGGUCCCGACUCCUAAGGGAGGCAGCAGUAGGGAAUAUUGGACAAUGGGGGGAAACCUGACACAACCAUGACGCGGGGGUGAAGAAGGGCUUCGGGUUGUUAAGCCCUUUUUUUUGGGAAGAAAAAGAGGAAGUUAAAUCCCCGCUGUUCUGACGGUACCCAAAGAAUAAGCACCGGCUAACUUCGUG
rnacentral:rRNA from 1 species